rnacentral:lncRNA from 1 species
CGGUAGACUUUUGAAUACCAGUAGACAUUUUAAAAGUAGUACCAAAUCUCAAUUGAAUACCAACGAAUUUUAUUGCCCUGAAAAAAAAAAUCAUGUUUGUCUUAAUUGAAUACCACAAGAUUUAUUUAACUUUUGUAAAAGUCUUGAUUGAAUACCUCAAGAUUUUUUUGUCAUAAAAAAGUCUUUUAAAAUCCCAUGAAAUCUCAAUCCAAUACACC